rnacentral:rRNA from 1 species
CCUACGGGGGGCAGCAGUGAGGAAUAUUGGUCAAUGGACGAGAGUCUGAACCAGCCAAGUAGCGUGAAGGAUGACUGCCCUAUGGGUUGUAAACUUCUUUUAUAAAGGAAUAAAACGAGGCACGUGUGCCUUUUUGCAUGUACUUUAUGAAUAAGGAUCGGCUAACUCCGUGCCAGCAGCCGCGGUAAUACGGAGGAUCCGAGCGUUAUCCGGAUUUAUUGGGUUUAAAGGGAGCGUAGAUGGGUUGUUAAGUCAGUUGUGAAAGGGUGCGGCUCAACCGUAAAAUUGCAAUUGAUACUGGCAGUCUUGAGUACAGUUGAGGUAGGCGGAAUGCGUGGUGUAGCGGUGAAAUGCUUAGAUAUCACGAAGAACCCCGAUUGCGAAGGCAGCUUACUAAACUGUGACUGACAUUGAUGCUCGAAAGUGUGGGUAUCAAACAGGAUUAGAUACCCCUGUAGUC